GUCUGUACCCAAAGUUAUCUUAGCCAACCAGCAAUGGAGGCGGAUACCUAAGGUAUGGGGGAUGAUUGGCUGAAGUCGUAACAAGGUAGCUGUAGGUGAACCUGCAGAAGGAUCA
rnacentral:rRNA from 1 species